rnacentral:rRNA from 1 species
AAAAUCCGCGUUCUAUUCAGCCUGAGAUGUGAUGCCGAGCCGAUUGUGGUGAAGUGGAUGAUCCUAUGCUGCCGAGAAAAGCCUCUAGUGAGUGUUGUGGCGGCCCGUACCCUAAACCGACUCAGGUGGUCAGGUAGAGAAUACCAAGGCGAUCGGGUGAACUGUGGUUAAGGAACUCGGCAAAUUGCCCCCGUAACUUCGGGAGAAGGGGGACCUCUGCUGGUGAUGGGCUUUACGUUCUGAGCUGGUGGGGGUCGCAGUGGCCAGGGGGAAGCGACUGUUUACUAAAAACACAGGUCCGUGCGAAGUCGUAAGACGAUGUAUACGGACUGACGCCUGCCCGGUGCCGGAACGUUAAGGGGACCGCUUAGCCAACGCGAGUUGGCGAAGGUGAGAACUUAAGCGCCGGUAAACGGCGGUGGUAACUAUAACCAUCCUAAGGUAGCGAAAUUCCUUGUCGGGUAAGUUCCGACCUGCACGAAUGGCGUAACGACUUCCCCGCUGUCUCAACCACAGACCCGGCGAAAUUGCACUACGAGUAAAGAUGCUCGUUUCGCGCAGCAGGACGGAAAGACCCCGGGACCUUCACUACAGCUUGACAUUGGCGUUUGGAACGUCUUGUGUAGGAUAGGUGGGAGACUGGGAAGCUGUCACGCUAGUGAUGGUGGAGUCAUUGGUGAAAUACCACUCUGGUCGUUUUGAACGUCUAACUCUGGUCCGUGAUCCGGAUCGGGGACGGUGUCUGGUGGGUAGUUUAACUGGGGCGGUUGCCUCCUAAAGAGUAACGGAGGCGCCCAAAGGUUCCCUCAGCCUGGUUGGCAAUCAGGUGUUGAGUGUAAGUGCACAAGGGAGCUUGACUGUGAGACUGACAGGUCGAGCAGGAGCGAAAGCUGGGACUAGUGAUCCGGCAUCGGCGUGUGGAAGCGGUGUCGCUCAACGGCUAAAAGGUACCCCGGGGAUAACAGGCUGAUCUUCCCCAAGAGUCCAUAUCGACGGGAUGGUUUGGCACCUCGAUGUCGGCUCGUCGCAUCCUGGGGCUGGAGUAGUCCCAAGGGUUGGGCUGUUCGCCCAUUAAAGCGGUACGCGAGCUGGGUUUAGAACGUCGCGAGACAGUUCGGUCCCUAUCCGCUGCGCGCGCAGGAGACUUGAAGGGGGCUGUCCCUUACGAGAGGACCGGGACGGACGAACCUCUGGUGUGCCAGUUGUACCGCCAGGUGCACGGCUGGUUGGCUACGUUCGGAAGGGAUAACCGCUGAAAGCAUCUAAGCGGGAAGCUCGCCUUGAGAUGAGGUCUCCCACCCCGUGAGGGGGUAAGGCUCCCGGUAGAUCACCGGGUUGAUAGGCCGGAGGUGGAAGCACGGUAACGUGUGGAGCUGACCGGUACUAAUAGGCCGAGGACUUGACC